GGUUAAGCGACUAAGCGUACACGGUGGAUGCCCUGGCAGUCAGAGGCGAUGAAGGGCGUGCUAAUCUGCGAUAAGCGCCGGUAAGGUGAUAUGAACCGUUAUAACCGGCGAUACCCGAAUGGGGAAACCCAGUGUGAUUCGUCACACUAUCAUUAACUGAAUCCAUAGGUUAAUGAGGCGAACCGGGGGAACUGAAACAUCUAAGUACCCCGAGGAAAAGAAAUCAACCGAGAUUCCCCCAGUAGCGGCGAGCGAACGGGGAGGAGCCCAGAGCCUGAAUCAGCAUGUGUGUUAGUGGAAGCGUCUGGAAAGGCGCGCGAUACAGGGUGACAGCCCCGUACACAAAAGCGCAUGUGCUGUGAGCUCGAUGAGUAGGGCGGGACACGUGGUAUCCUGUCUGAAUAUGGGGGGACCAUCCUCCAAGGCUAAAUACUCCUGACUGACCGAUAGUGAACCAGUACCGUGAGGGAAAGGCGAAAAGAACCCCGGCGAGGGGAGUGAAAAAGAACCUGAAACCGUGUACGUACAAGCAGUGGGAGCCCCACCACCAAAGCAUUCUCUGGUGUUGAAGGCCCUGCAAAGCAGCAUCGCGGUGGCGGAGCGUCGUUUGCGACGCCCAACACACAAAACAAGCGGUGAAUGCUUUGGGGUGGGGUGACUGCGUACCUUUUGUAUAAUGGGUCAGCGACUUAUAUUCUGUAGCAAGGUUAACCGAAUAGGGGAGCCGGAGGGAAACCGAGUCUUAAUUGGGCGUUAAGUUGCAGGGUAUAGACCCGAAACCCGGUGAUCUAGCCAUGGGCAGGUUGAAGGUUGGGUAACACUAACUGGAGGACCGAACCGACUAAUGUUGAAAAAUUAGCGGAUGACCUGUGGCUGGGGGUGAAAGGCCAAUCAAACCGGGAGAUAGCUGGUUCUCCCCGAAAGCUAUUUAGGUAGCGCCUCGUGAAUUCAUCUCCGGGGGUAGAGCACUGUUUCGGCUAGGGGGCCAUCCCGGCUUACCAACCCGAUGCAAACUGCGAAUACCGGAGAAUGUUAUCACGGGAGACACACGGCGGGUGCUAACGUCCGUCGUGAAGAGGGAAACAACCCAGACCGCCAGCUAAGGUCCCAAAGUCAUGGUUAAGUGGGAAACGAUGUGGGAAGGCCCAGACAGCCAGGAUGUUGGCUUAGAAGCAGCCAUCAUUUAAAGAAAGCGUAAUAGCUCACUGGUCGAGUCGGCCUGCGCGGAAGAUGUAACGGGGCUAAACCAUGCACCGAAGCUGCGGCAGCGAACGUAUCACUUAAAGCGAUUCAGCGGGUUACGAUUGACGGAGCGAAGCGACGUCAAAGCGUAUACAAAGUCGAGUCGGUUUAAGGAUACGUUCGUUGGGUAGGGGAGCGUUCUGUAAGCCCGUGAAGGUGGCCUGUGAGGGUUGCUGGAGGUAUCAGAAGUGCGAAUGCUGACAUAAGUAACGAUAAAGCGGGUGAAAAGCCCGCUCGCCGGAAGACCAAGGGUUCCUGUCCAACGUUAAUCGGGGCAGGGUGAGUCGACCCCUAAGGCGAGGCCGAAAGGCGUAGUCGAUGGGAAACGGGUUAAUAUUCCCGUACUUGGUGUUACUGCGAAGGGGGGACGGAGAAGGCUAUGUUGGCCGGGCGACGGUUGUCCCGGUUUAAGCGUGUAGGUGUGUGUUCCAGGUAAAUCCGGUUCACUUUAACACUGAGGCGUGACGACGAGGCACUACGGUGCUGAAGCAACAAAUGCCCUGCUUCCAGGAAAAGCCUCUAAGCAUCAGGUAACACGAAAUCGUACCCCAAACCGACACAGGUGGUCAGGUAGAGAAUACCAAGGCGCUUGAGAGAACUCGGGUGAAGGAACUAGGCAAAAUGGUGCCGUAACUUCGGGAGAAGGCACGCUGACACGUAGGUGAAGUGAUUUACUCAUGGAGCUGAAGUCAGUCGAAGAUACCAGCUGGCUGCAACUGUUUAUUAAAAACACAGCACUGUGCAAACACGAAAGUGGACGUAUACGGUGUGACGCCUGCCCGGUGCCGGAAGGUUAAUUGAUGGGGUCAGCGCAAGCGAAGCUCCUGAUCGAAGCCCCGGUAAACGGCGGCCGUAACUAUAACGGUCCUAAGGUAGCGAAAUUCCUUGUCGGGUAAGUUCCGACCUGCACGAAUGGCGUAAUGAUGGCCAGGCUGUCUCCACCCGAGACUCAGUGAAAUUGAACUCGCUGUGAAGAUGCAGUGUACCCGCGGCAAGACGGAAAGACCCCGUGAACCUUUACUAUAGCUUGACACUGAACAUUGAGCCUUGAUGUGUAGGAUAGGUGGGAGGCUUUGAAGUGUGGACGCCAGUCUGCAUGGAGCCGACCUUGAAAUACCACCCUUUAAUGUUUGAUGUUCUAACGUGGACCCGUAAUCCGGGUUGCGGACAGUGUCUGGUGGGUAGUUUGACUGGGGCGGUCUCCUCCUAAAGAGUAACGGAGGAGCACGAAGGUUGGCUAAUCCUGGUCGGACAUCAGGAGGUUAGUGCAAUGGCAUAAGCCAGCUUGACUGCGAGCGUGACGGCGCGAGCAGGUGCGAAAGCAGGUCAUAGUGAUCCGGUGGUUCUGAAUGGAAGGGCCAUCGCUCAACGGAUAAAAGGUACUCCGGGGAUAACAGGCUGAUACCGCCCAAGAGUUCAUAUCGACGGCGGUGUUUGGCACCUCGAUGUCGGCUCAUCACAUCCUGGGGCUGAAGUAGGUCCCAAGGGUAUGGCUGUUCGCCAUUUAAAGUGGUACGCGAGCUGGGUUUAGAACGUCGUGAGACAGUUCGGUCCCUAUCUGCCGUGGGCGCUGGAGAACUGAGGGGGGCUGCUCCUAGUACGAGAGGACCGGAGUGGACGCAUCACUGGUGUUCGGGUUGUCAUGCCAAUGGCACUGCCCGGUAGCUAAAUGCGGAAGAGAUAAGUGCUGAAAGCAUCUAAGCACGAAACUUGCCCCGAGAUGAGUUCUCCCUGAGACUUUAGGUCUCCUGAAGGAACGUUGAAGACGACGACGUUGAUAGGCCGGGUGUGUAAGCGCAGCGAUGCGUUGAGCUAACCGGUACUAAUGAACCGUGAGGCUUAACCUU
rnacentral:rRNA from 1 species